rnacentral:rRNA from 1 species
UACGUAGGGCGCAAGCGUUGUUCGGAAUUAUUGGGCGUAAAGGGCUCGUAGGCGGUCUGUCGCGUCGGGAGUGAAAACUCAGGGCUUAACCCUGAGCCUGCUUCCGAUACGGGCAGACUAGAGGUAUGCAGGGGAGAACGGAAUUCCUGGUGUAGCGGUGAAAUGCGCAGAUAUCAGGAGGAACACCGGUGGCGAAGGCGGUUCUCUGGGCAUUACCUGACGCUGAGGAGCGAAAGUGUGGGGAGCGAACAGG